rnacentral:rRNA from 1 species
UUCUAGAGCUAAUACAUGCACCAAAGCUCUGAUUUUUUGACGAGCGCAUCUAUUAGACCAAAAACCAAUCGAGAUGACUCGUUCUCGAGGUAAUCUCGUAACGUUGGUGACUCUGAAUAGCUUAGCUGAUCGCACGGUCUUGAACCGGCGACAUAUCUAUCAAGUGUCUGCCUUAUCAACUUUCGAUGGUAGUUUAUAUGCCUACCAUGGUUGUAACGGGUAACGGAGAAUAAGGGUUCGACUCCGGAGAGGGAGCCUGAGAAACGGCUACCACAUCCAAGGAAGGCAGCAGGCGCGCAAAUUACCCACUCUCAGCACGAGGAGGUAGUGACGAAAAAUAACGAGACCGUUCUCUUCGAGGCCGGUUAUCGGAAUGAGUACAAUUUAAAGCCUUUAACGAGGAUCUAUGAGAGGGCAAGUCUGGUGCCAGCAGCCGCGGUAAUUCCAGCUCUCAAAGUGUAUAUCGUUAUUGCUGCGGUUAAAAAGCUCGUAGUUGGAUUUAAGCUGAACGACUCGGUCCGUCCAUUGGACGAGAACUGAGUUCGUCGGCUAUCGUUGCUGGUUUUGUUCRAGUGACYUUAAUCGGUYGCUUGGGCUGACUAGCGAGUUUACUUUGAAAAAAUUAGAGUGCUCAACGCGGGCUUAAUGCCUGAAUAGUCGUGCAUGGAAUAAUGGAAUAGGAUCUCGGUUCUAUUUUGUUGGUUUUCUGAUCUGAGAUAAUGGUUAAGAGGGACAGACGGGGGCAUUCGUAUCGUUACGUGAGAGGUGAAAUUCUUGGACCGUAGCGAGACGACCGACUGCGAAAGCAUUUGCCAAGAAUGUCUUC